rnacentral:sRNA from 1 species
CCCCAUCAUCCUUUCCUGUGGCUCCUCAGUCUUCACCUAAAGAGGAAUGCAGAUUCCAGGACAGAAUUUGGAAAAUAUGCCAUUUACUGCCAGCGUUGUGUAGAAAGAACGCAACAAAAUGGUGACAGAGAAGCAAGACCCUCAAGGAUGGAAAUUCUUUCAACUCUUCUCCGAAACCCUUAUCACCAUUCUUUGCCCUUUAGUAUACCUGUGCACUUCAUGAAUGGGAUAUACCAGGUAGUUGGUUUUGACGCAUCUACCACAGUGGAAGAAUUUUUGAAUACUUUGAACCAGGACACAGGAAUGAGGAAACCAGCGCAGUCUGGAUUUGCGUUGUUCACUGACGAUCCUUCUGGCAGAGAUUUAGAGCAUUGUCUUCAAGGAAACAUCAAGGUGAAACCAAGUCCUUUUCAGGAGCCAAGCCCAACAAACAGCAAAGAAGCUACUCUUUACAAGAAGAGUAAACUUUGCAAGAAGUUUAAUUCAGGAGUUUUCCAAAACUUUAACCAAUCUAAUCUCCACGAUAAGAAAAAAAAA